CCUGUUCACUCAUGACUACAUGGCCAAGCACGACUCCAACAUCAUCAAGUUUGCCGAUGACACAACAGUUGUAAGCCUGACCACCAACAACGACGAGACAGCCUAUAGGGAAGAGGUCAGAGACCUGACUGUGUGGUGCCAGGACAACAACCUCUCCCUCAACGUGAUCAAGACAAAGGAGAUGAUUGUGGACUACAGGAAAGGGAGGCCUGAGCACGCCCCCAUUCUCAUCGACGGGGCUGUAGUGGAGCAGGUUGAGAGCUUCAAGUUCAUUGGUGUCCACAUUACCAACAAACUAACAUGGUCCAAACACACAAAGACAGUCGUGAAGAGGGCACAACAAAACCUUUUCCCCCUCAGGAGACUGGAAAGAUUUGGCAUGGGUCCUCAGAUCCUCAAAAGGUUCUACAGCUGCACCAUCGAGAGCAUCCUGAUUUGGUAUGGAAACUGCUCAGCUUCCGACCACAAGGCACUACAGAGGCUGGUGCGAAUGGCCCAGUACAUCACUGGGGCCAAGCUUCCUGCCAUCCAGGACCUCUAUACCAGGCGGUGUCAGAAGAAUGUCCUAAAAAUUGUCCAACACUCCAAGCGGUACCGGAGCGCCAAGUCUAGGUCCAAGAGGCUUCUACACAGCUUCUGCCCCCAAGCCAUAAGACUCCUGAACACCUAUUAUCAUCAUUUCCAUCUCCCCUCUUUUACAUUUCACUGUAAGGUCUACUAUACCUGUUGUAUUCAGCAUUUCACUGUAAGGUCUACUACACCUGUUGUAUUCAGGAUUUCAUUGUAAGUUCUACACCUGUUGUAUUCGGCGCAUGUGACAAAUAAAAUUCGAUUUGAUCAUUUCCUCAUUUCCUCAUAUCAGUCUCAUUCUGAACGUCGCAGACUUCAUGAAUCUGCACAAACCCGAGUCUUGUCUUCUUCAACCUCGUGGUGCGUUCCACGGUCGUGACUAAUGUACACCUAGCUGCAGCUCGUGGUCUGUUUAGUCUCCUAUGUUAAUUA
rnacentral:lncRNA from 8 species